rnacentral:lncRNA from 1 species
GGGAUUUUUGGGAAUUAUGGGAUAAAUGUGGGAUUUUGGGAUUUUGGGGAUUUUGGGAUUUGUGGGACCUGGUUCUUGCCCGCGUGCUCCAUGAUCUUCUCGUAGACGAUCUCGUUCAUGAUCUGGAAGCGUUUGAUGGCUUUCUUCUCCGUGAUGCCCACGUAGGUCUGCUCCAGGGGCACCGGCCGGAAACUGCGGAGAAAUCCGGGGAUUUGGGGAAAAAAUCCAUGGGAUUUGGGGGGAAAUAUCCAUGGGAUUUAUGGGGAAAAAUCCAUGGGAUUUGGGGGAAAAAUCCAUGGAAAAAGGGGGAAAUGUCAGUGGGAUUUAUGGGAAAAAAUCCGUGGGAUUUAUGGGAAAAUAUGUGGGAUUUAUGGGAAAAGAUCCAUGGGAUUUAUGGGGAAAAAUCCAUGGGAUUUGUGGGAAAAAUCCAUGGGAUUUAUGGGGAAAAAUAUGUGGGAUUUAUGGGAAAAAUAUGUGGGGUUUAUGGGAAAAAUCUAUGGGAUUUAUGGGAAAAAUAUGUGGGAUUUAUGGGAAAAAAUCCGUGGAAAAUGGGGAAAUGUCAGUGGGAUUUAUGGGAAAAAAUCCAUGGGAUUUAUGGGAAAAAUAUGUGGGAUUUAUGGGAAAAAAUCCAUGGGAUUUAUGGGAAAAAUCCAUGGGAUUUGUGGGAAAAUAUGUGGGAUUUAUGGGGAAAAAAUCUGUGGGAUAUAUGGGAAAAAAUCCAUGGGAUUUAUGGGAAAAAAUCCAUGGGAAUUAUGGGAAAAAAUCCAUGGAAAACGGGGGAAAUGUUAGUGGGAUUUGUGGGAAAAAAUCCAUGGAAUUUCUGGAGAAACCACCACCAAAAAAUCCAUGGAAAAUGGAACUUCUGGAGAACCUCUGACCAAGAACCCACAGAAAAUGGAAUUUAUGGAGAAACCACCACCAAGAAUCCAUGGAAAAUGGACCUUCUGGAGAAAAUAUGACCAAGAAUCCAUGGAAAUGGAACUUCUGGAGAACCUCCGACCAAGCCACCCCAGCCCAUAGACCUUCUGGAAAACCCCUGACCAAGCCACCCCAGCCCAUGGAGCUUCUGGAGACCCUCUGACCAAGAAUCCAUGGAAAAUGGAAUUUCUGGAGAACCUCUGACCAAGCACCCCCAGCAAAUGGAACUUCUGGAGAAGCUGUGACCAAGAACCCAUAGAAAAUGAAUUUAUGGAGAAACCACCACCAAAAAAUCCACGGAAAUGGAACUUCUGGAGAAGCUGUGACCAAGCCCCCCCAGCCAAUGGAACUUCUGGAGAACCUCCAACCAAUCCACCCCAGGAAAUGGACUUUCUGGAGAACCCCUGACCAACCCCACCAGCCCAUGGACUUUCUGGAGACCCUCUGACCAACCCCACCAGCCCAUGGACUUUCUGGAGACCCUCCACCCAAGCCCCCCAGCCCAUGGAAUUUCUGGAGAACUUCUGACCAAACCCCCAGCCCAUGGAGCUUCUGGAGAACCUGUGACCAAAAAUCCAUGGAAAUGGAACUUCUGGAGAACCUCCAACCAAUCCACCCCAGCCCAUGGACCUUCUGGAGAAGCUCUGACCAAGAACCCCCCAGCCCAUGGAAUUCCUGGAGAAGCUGUGACCAAAAAUCCAUGGAAAUGGAAUUUCUGGAGAACCUCUGACCAAGCCCAGUCCAUGGAAAAUGGAAUUUCUGGAGACCCUCCACCCAAGCCCCCAGCCCGUGGAACUUCUGGAGAAGUUGUGACCAAGAACCCCCCAGCCCAUGGAAUUCCUGGAGAACCUCUGACCAAGAACCCCCAGAAAAUGAAUUUAUGGAGAACCUGUGACCAAGAACCCAUAGAAAAUGAAAUUUAUGGAGAAACCACCACCAAAAAAUCCAUGGAAAUGGAACUUCUGGAGAAGCUGUGACCAACCCCACCAGCCCAUGGAAUUUCUGGAGACCCUCCGACCAAGAAUCCAUGGAAAUGGAAUU